GGGUAGAGCUCAGUGGCAGAGCUCAUGCUUAGCACGCAUGAGGUCCUGAGUUCUAUCCCUGGUACCUCCA
rnacentral:tRNA from 1 species